rnacentral:miRNA from 1 species
GAGUCGCUUCUCAAGGAUGAGCAAAGAAAGUAGUUUCUUCAGAAUCUAAAAAACUACUUUCUUUGC